CCAGGAUUUGGAAGCAGAUUUAUUUUAUGUCAGAUGGGCACUGACUAGGAAUCAAUUUUUCCUCAAAAUGUCAGGCCCUGAUCUCUGGUGGUUUGUGGUUUGGAAGCAGAGUACUUGGCUCUCUUUGAUUGGUUCUUACAAUAUGCAUCACAGUGACCAGUCGUUUCUAGGAGACAGAAGUAAUACGAACUUGUGAGGAAAUAUUACCUGGGCAACUAACAGACUGGCUGAGGGGCAUUUUCUGCCACAUUUCUCCCCUCUUUCAGUUUUCCCAGCAAAUCUUUUUUGGGCAUAUUACACUUGAUCUUUUGAGACAAGGCCCAACUAGAAGCAGUAACAUGAGGGUUGUCAGUAAUCCUAGCCAAGGUGCCCAAGAUUGUCUUAUUGUAGAGUUUUUCCCUAAGCUGACUCUAACAAGAAAGUGAAAGAGUAAAUCUGAUCUAGGAGAGUAUCCAAUGUGCCUUGGGCACUCACCAAAUCUUUAUCAUUUGUAAGGGCUUUACUGGUUAUUUUCUAAAGGCAAUCAUCCAUAGAGCUAAGGCAAAGCAAGGGCUGGGGUUAGCAGCCCGAAAAGGCACAAAAAUCAAUGGGAAUAAGUAUGGGGCAAUUCUGUGAAUGGUAUCCUCAGGCUUCAGCUAUGCAUGGACUGGUCCAUGUCCAGAGGGACCAGAGCAGGGCUCUGAGUGCAUGCUGUCUUCAGAGUGAGCUCUCUGGUCCAGGGACCAUGACAGAGCUGGAAGGAACAGAGAAACAGGCUGUCCCAUGAUGAAGACCAUUAUGAAGCAGCCCUAAGCAGGACUUUAACCAACUGGCUUUUCAUGUUUACUUGUAAUUCUCUCCAAAGACUAGGCCCCUUGUCUGAAGAUGGGCAGUGGAUUCAUAGCCUCUGUGAGUCAUUGGUCCCUACUGAGGCCUGUAAUGGUGGGUGAAGCCAUGAAGCCUCAAAGGGUAAGACAAGGUCACAGCUAAGGACACCUGGCUCCAACCUCAACUAGAUAAAGGCUAUAGCCUCAGGCAUCUCACUCCUGGGUAGAGACCAUCCUGCAGUUAACAUAGCUCUCCUAAAUCAAUACAAUACCUUACUUGGAGAAGUCCUUGAGUGGUUCCCCUCUUCUUGAGUAUUCAUCUCCC
rnacentral:lncRNA from 1 species